CGCCCGUCGCUCCUACCGAUUGGGUGUGCUGGUGAAGUGUUCGGAUUGGCGCCAGGUGGCGGUUUCCGCUGCUUGGUGCCGAGAAGUUCAUUAAACCCUCCCACCUAGAGGAAGGAGAAGUCGUAACAAGGUUUCC
rnacentral:rRNA from 1 species